GUUUGGGUGCUACCCCGCAACUACACACCACUGUUCGGUGUAACUGCGGCUGUUUGGGUGCUGGAAUGGGUCGUGUUGUGACGUCGGAGCGCCAGUCUGCCCGUAGUCGUCGCUGCUCAACUCUAUCGUAAAUCGUUGCGUUUAGCAGAUGAGCUAUAAACCUGCUUGUUGCCAGGUGAUUCAGAAUGGGGGAAAAGCCAAUUUGGGAACAGAUAGGAUCCAGCUUUGUGCAACAUUACUACCAGCUCUUUGACACUGACAGGACCCAGCUUGGAGCAAUAUAUAGACUGAUGCUAGAUCAAACAAGUUUUGACAAGCAUUCAUCUGAGGAACUUUUUGGGCCAAAGAAACAGGGUCUGAAGCAUCAAGUUAGACUGUGGAGGACAUGCAAAUAUGCAUACUACUUGGACACUUCCAAGCUAAAGCAUAAUAUAUUUCAAUAAGAUGUGUAAUACACAGCAUAUAGUAACAUAUUUUAAGCUGCUCAAAUAAUUGUAAUGUCCAUUUAUGAAUUGUGAGAACAAGCAAGCUGUUGAUUGUACCCUUUUCUUUACAUUCUGCUGAUUCAGUGUAUUGUUUGUGUGCCCCCUAUUGGUAGCAGGGUGAUUCUCAUGAAACUGGCACAUACACACCUCUUUCUCUAUUAUUCUUCUUGGAUCACUAAGAAUCGGAUCUAUUGAUGCAUCAUGCCUUACGUGGGAAGGACAGCAAUUCCAGGGAAAGGCAGCAAUUGUUGAGAAACUUUCUACUCUCCCCUUCUUAAAAAUUGCUCACAGUAUAACAGCACAAGACCACCAGCCCACCCCUGACAGCUGCAUAAUGAGUAUGGUAGUAGGACAACUAAAAGCCGAUGAGGACCCCGUCAUGGGAUUUCAUCAGAGUUUCAUCCUGAAAAACAUUAAUGAUGCUUGGGUAUGCACCAAUGACAUGUUCCGGCUUGCGCUGCACAAUUUCGGCUAAGGACACCAGAGGUGUGCAGGAAGGAUAUGAGGGAAGGCUGACGACACCUAAAUGCCCAACCUUCCCUCUGUAUCUUCCAUACCUGUUAGAGAAAUUACACCGGAUUCCAGAUGUCAAUCACAGAGACCUACAGGCACAUAGGCUACAUGCCUCCAACUGAAUUGAGAUGUGUUCCUUUGCUGAGAGCUCGCAGAACCAUCAGUCUCGUUCCCUACGCCAGUGUUUCCUAACCCCAGUACUUGAGUACCCCCAACAUUACAUAUUUUUGUUGUUGCCCCAGACAAGCACACCUGAUUCUACUUGUCAACUAAUCAUCAUGCCCAUGAUAAGUUGAAUUCGUUUUUUUUGUCUGGGCCUACAACUAAAAUGUGUGCUGUUGGGGGUAUGUGAGGACCGGAGUUGGGAAACACUGCCCUACGCUGACCUGCAUGAUGCUGGGGAGCUUGAAUAUCUGAAGAUGCCAGAAAAGGAAAAAAAUACCAACCUACCUGCACCAUUUUCUCUUCCAUUUUAGUUUUAUGUUUGGACUCAACAUUUCUUAGAUCCUGUUGUUUUCUCUUACUCCCCUUUGUGUUGUGGCUUGCCUUGGUGUAUACAACUACAUUUAGCUUAUUUUGUUAAGUUUAUAUUAACAUUCAUUGUCAUAUCAGGUUGCUACAGCGAUCCAAAGAAUCAUAGAAAAUAUGGUCAAUAAGACACCCUCCCCUCAGACCAGCAAGUUUUCCAUUUCCUGCUCACUGCUCUCUGUGACAAUGAAUACUAAAGCCACGAUACACAAUAAAAGUUGACUUUUUCUUAAUGAUUUCA